rnacentral:rRNA from 1 species
GACGGGGGAUGCAAGUGUUAUCCGGAAUCACUGGGCGUAAAGCGUCUGUAGGUGGUUUAAUAAGUCAACUGUUAAAUCUUGAGGCUCAACCUCAAAAUCGCAGUCGAAACUAUUAGACUAGAGUAUAGUAGGGGUAAAGGGAAUUUCCAGUGGAGCGGUGAAAUGCGCAGAUAUCAGGAGGAACACCGGUGGCGAAGGCGGGUCUCUGGGCCGUAACUGACGCUGAGGAGCGAAAGCGUGGGGAGCGAACAGG